rnacentral:rRNA from 1 species
GUGGGGAAUAUUGGACAAUGGGCGCAAGCCUGAUCCAGCAAUUCCGCGUGAGCGAAGAAGGCCUUCGGGUUGUAAAGCUCUUUCGGCGGGGACGAUAAUGACGGUACCCGCAGAAGAAGCCCCGGCUAACUCCGUGCCAGCAGCCGCGGUAAUACGGAGGGGGCUAGCGUUGUUCGGAAUCACUGGGCGUAAAGCGCACGUAGGCGGCUACUCCAGUCAGAGGUGAAAGCCCGGGGCUCAACUCCGGAAUUGCCUUUGAAACUAGGUAGCUUGAACGUCGGAGAGGUAAGUGGAAUUCCGAGUGUAGAGGUGAAAUUCGUAGAUAUUCGGAAGAACACCAGUGGCGAAGGCGACUUACUGGACGACUGUUGACGCUGAGGUGCGAAAGCGUGGGGAGCAAACAGGAUUAGAAACCCGGGUAGUCC